UACGGGAGGCAGCAGUGGGGAAUAUUGCACAAUGGGCGAAAGCCUGAUGCAGCUAUGCCGCGUGUAUGAAGAAGGCCUUAGGGUUGUAAAGUACUUUCAUCGGGGAGGAAAAACAAAACUAAUAAUUUUAUUUCUUGACGUUACCCGAAAAAGAAGCACCGGCUAACUCCGUGCCAGCAGCCGCGGUAAUACGGAGGGUGCUAGCGUUAAUCAGAAUUACUGGGCGUAAAGAGCACGUAGGUGGUUUUUUUAAGUCAGAUGUGAAAUCCCUGGGCUUAACCUAGGAACUGCAUUUUGAAACUGAAAUACUAGAGUAUCGUAGAGGGAGGUAGAAUUCUAGGUGUAGCGGUGAAAUGCGUAGAUAUCUGGAGGAAUACCUGCGGCGAAAGCGGCCUCCUAAACGAAUACUGACACUGAGGUGCGAAAGCGUGGGGAGCAAACAGGGAUUAGAUACC
rnacentral:rRNA from 1 species